UACGAAGGGGGCUAGCGUUGCUCGGAAUCACUGGGCGUAAAGGGUGCGUAGGCGGGUCUUUAAGUCAGGGGUGAAGUCCUGGAGCUCAACUCCAGAACUGCCUUUGAUACUGAAGAUCUUGAGUUCGGGAGAGGUGAGUGGAACUGCGAGUGUAGAGGUGAAAUUCGUAGAUAUCGGGAGGAACACCAGUGGCGAAGGCGAUCAUCUGGGGUUGUUCUGACACUGAGGAGCGAAAGCUAGGGGAGCAAACGGG
rnacentral:rRNA from 1 species